CACAUCCCAUCAGUCAUCUGGGUGCACAGGUACCAUAACAGACCCAGCAAAAGGGCAGGAAUGGGGGUUCCUUGAACUAUGAAGGUGACUUUUAAAGCGACUUAGGUGACUUCUCCCAUACCUACCUUGGGCCAAGGUCUGUGAAUGCAAACAUCUCUUGAGUUGCUUCCAAACACUGAUUCCUUCAAUCCAAUGGUCUCCAACUGGAGGGCUGCUAAAGAGAGUGUUCACAGAUGGAGGAAUUGGGUCUGGGAGAGAGUGACUUGCCCAAGGCCACACAAUGAGGCUAAGGAAGAACUGAAACUUGAACCCGAGGCCUCUUCAGUCCAGCUGUCUACUACUGCACCACUUUCACUUCUGAUCUCCCCGGCUACUGAGACUUUCACCUCCCUUGGGAAAGAGCCUGAGUCUGCACCACUUCCUGUCCUCCCUCCCAGGACCAACGCACCCUGCACACCCUCUCCCCACUGGACAGCCUUGAAUAUUUUUUUCCCAGUUCUUUGUAAGAAUCCUAAAUCCUCUGGAGUGGGGCUGUGUCAUUUCUGUGUCCUGUGCAGCACCCAGCACAUGGUCAGUGCUUAAUAAUAACUGGUUAGUACUAGUCUCCGAACUGUGUCAUUUGGCAAGAAAUGGGUCCACAGCCUCACGGAGGUACUGCCUCCCCUCCGUAAUCAGCUCUCAGCAAGGCACACCCUGUGUGUUCUCUUUGACUACCCAACUGCUUUGGCCUGUAUUUGUGUCCAGACACCAGAGAGCUCUCGCCAGGCCUGUGGUGCCUGUGAUGUCUUUGAGGCAAAGGCACCGUCAAAAUCACCGGCUCCUAUCAGGCCCCUUCUCUCUCUCUCUUUCUCUCUGAUGGGUCAGGAAUGUAGGCUUUGCAGGCCCCCUCCCCCUGGCCACAGCGUUUAUUUAAUAUCCUGAAAAAAAUUAAAAUAACUUCUGUGGCCGCUAGGAAAAACAAAGAUAAAUAUAAUAAAAGCAAGACGAAAAUAUAACCCCGGAGAGGGACUGGAAGCUUUCCUAACCAAGGGCAGGGAUCCAGGAGGGGCGUGAAUGCAAAAGGCAACACACACACACACACACACAAGCAUGGGUGGAUGUAUCGAUGUGGGUUUGCACGAUCAGACACAAACAAAUAUCCCAACCUUGGGUACGGAACAUUCUUCCAUAGAUUCACAUUACUUGAAAUAUACACAGUGGAUGCACACACAGAUAAAUAUAGACAUGUGGACUCAACAAGUACACACACGGCGAUGGAUAGCUGGAAAGAGCAGACGCCGCUCUGGAGUCGUAGGCAGAUACGUUCCUAGGCGCAUGGAGCAACCUAGUGAGCUCACUAAAAAAGAGGGAAAACAUUUGGAAGUAGUAUAUAAACUAGGUCCAUCAGUGGGGGUUACCCAUGAUAGCUAAAAGAGAAUCUUCACACUAAGAAGUUCCGAUCAUGAGAUGCUGAAGACAAACGGGUCGGCAAUCUCCACCACACCCUGUUAAUUGCUUCUGUAAAGCAUCUAGUUAGCCAAGGUUGGAGACUGAAUGCUGGACUAGAGAAACCUUUGUCUGGAUCCAGGAAACAACAUAAAUUCAUAUUCGUUUGGGUUCUUCGUCAACAUCAUGUCCCCUGAAUAUGAGGAACCUUCCAAAACAAAACAGGCUCUGAAGGUUGACACUUUACAGUGUUCACUACUGGAAACAAAAUAAAAAUGCUGA